UCUACCACCACCACCACUAGUCCCUCCACCACCACCCCCUCCACCACCACCAGCGCCACCACCACCACCACUAGCCCCUCCUCCACCAGCCCCUCCACCACUACCAGCGCCACCACAACCACCGCCAGGAGCACCACCAGCUCUACCACCACCACCACCACCACCAGUGCCACCACCACAAACCGUGAACCAUUCCCAUCUGUUGUUUCUUCCCCGACAAUGGGCAAGCCAUCGAGCAGCAGCGAUACAGCCCCGGUGGAUCAUGGGGCCGUGAAGGUUGACAGUAAGGACUUCCUCCCAGAAGGUCACAGUAGUGGAGGGCGACCCCCGCCUCUUGACGUUGAUGAUUUGUGGUUCCAAAAUCUUUUCUUGUCUGAGGUGCGCGAGGCUGUUAUCCCGGCGCCCACGCCUGUGCCUUACACUGUCAGACUCUGGCAGGAGCAUGACAAGAAGAUGGGCGGGUUCUCCAGCCGUUUCGUUCCUCUCUCGCUGGACAUCGUGGAGUCAGACUUCGUGCCGCUGACCCACCCCGACGCCACUGUCGCUGAGAAGAAACCCUCCACGGACCUUCAGCACGAGCACCGAGAACACUCAGAGGCUGUUCACACCAAGGAACCCCAUCACAACUUGCAGGAGGAACCCAGCCUGGUAGAACAACCCACUCUGGUAGAGGAACCCACCCUGUUAGAGGAACCCACUCUGGUAGAGGAACCCAUCCUGUUAGAGGAACCCACUCUGGUAGAGGAACCCAGUCUGGUAGCAGAACCCACUGUGGUAGAACAACUCACCAUGGUAGAAGAACCCACACUGGUAGAGGAAUCCACUCUGGUAGAACAACCCACCAUACAUGAGGUAGCCGCGGUGGUAGAACAACCCACCCUGGUAGAGGAAACAACAUCGGGCGGGGCCCCUCCUCGCCAGCCACACUCCAGCACUACUGCAAUCGCUGAUGCAGAGAUUGGUCCCUCAUUUGCCACCCGCGACCCUGCACCAGGCAGCGGCCCCGCGCUGGGAGGCGGCGGCGUGGAGGUGCAUGAGACGCUUCCGCUGACUAUUUCUGAAGUCGCACAUUCUCUAGAAGGCAAGACAGCAGAUGAAGAAAAGGAGGAGGAAAAAGAGAAGAAAAACAAGAAGAAAAAGAAAAAGAAGAAAGACAAGGAAAAACAGGUCAUCGCUCCACACAGUGGCCAGUCUGGCGGGAAGAAGAAACAGAAUAGCUUAAGCCAGCAGCUUCCCGUCACUACAGACGAUCUCGGCAGCCAUGCCGUGGUGCCUUCUGCCGUCCCUCAUGAUGCACAAGACAUCUCGCCAGGACGAGCCGCGGCCACUCAGCUGACAUCUAAUCAAACCCCGUCCACUCCUGUCUCGCCGCCAGUCUCCAGCGCCACGAGCCCCAGUCACUUCCCUCCACAGCCUCCCACUGACGUCCAGCUCGACGACCACGUCCACGCCCCCACCGACACUCCCUCCCCCACCCAGGCCUCGCCGGACAGUCUUUUAUCUUCAAACAAUUCCCGAGGCCAUGGCCAGUCUAGUGAAAGUGAGGGCGGCGCCCCUGAUAGACCAGCGGCGGCAGACAGCACCCGCGACGACCUGGCUGAGGCGGAGCCCCAGGGAGAAAGUGGUGCCGGGACGCCGCUGCUGCACGCUGCCGUGGCUGGGGCGGUGCUGCUCGCCGUGUUGUGAUGGAAAUUUUUACUUUAAUGUGCUGUUUUGGUGCUUUUUGCCGCGCUGUGGCGUGGUGAAGCCGCACGGCUGCUGCGCCCAACACUGCCAUGUGAAACGAAUUACUAAACCUCGCAAGACGAACAUUUGAGCCACGAGGCAAAGGCCGCGUGUUGUUAUGGUGCUAUUGCUGUUGUUGUGAUGUUUUUUGUUGCCGUUCUCGCCACUGCCACUCUCGUUGUUGUUGUCGUUGUUGUUGUUGUUGUUAUUGCUGUUAUUGCUGUUGUUGUUAUUGUCACUGUCGUUGUUACUGUUUUUGCUGUUCCUGCUGUCCCUAUUGGUGGUGGCAGUGGUGGUGCAGAGUCCUUCCUCAGACGUAAACAAGCGUUGGUGUGAGAUUUAACCUUUGCAUCGACACACCACCUCCACCGCUCACCAUGGAGCCGCUCCGCCCACCGCCCUGACCGACGCCUCCCUGGUGGUGGUGGUGGUGGUGGCGGUUGCGGCGGCGGCGGUGAUGGGAGUGAGGCAACGGAAGAAGGCCACGGAGGAGCCGCUGUGUUGCUGUUGAGUUCAAAUGCACCAAGUACGCACCAGGAAGCCAAGUUUGCGAGACUGCCGGGUCCUCUGGAGUCAACAAGGCAUCGCUGCUCCCUCUGGUGGCGAUGCUUCUCAUCCUCCGGCAGCUCCUUGUCUAGGCCACCCCGCCCACCC
rnacentral:misc_RNA from 1 species